rnacentral:tRNA from 9 species
GCGGAAGUGGCUCAGUGGUAGAGCAUCACCUUGCCAAGGUGAGGGUCGCGGGUUCGAAUCCCGUCUUCCGCUCCA